UACGGGGGGGGCAAGCGUUGUUCGGAAUUACUGGGCGUAAAGGGCUCGUAGGCGGCCAACUAAGUCGGAUGUGAAAUCCCCAAGCUUAACUUGGGAACUGCAUCCGAUACUGGAUGGCUUGAAUCCGGGAGAGGGAUGCAGAAUUCCAGGUGUAGCGGUGAAAUGCGUAGAUAUCUGGAGGAAUACCGGUGGCGAAAGCGGCUUCCUGGUCCAGCACCGACGUUCAGGCACGAAAGCGUGGGGAGCGAACAGG
rnacentral:rRNA from 1 species